UACGUAGGGAGCAAGCGUUAUCCGGAUUUAUUGGGUGUAAAGGGUGCGUAGACGGAUUUGCAAGUUGGCUGUGAAAUCCCGAGGCUUAACUUCGGAAUUGCAACCAAAACUACAAGUCUUGAGUACUGGAGGGGAAUGCGGAAUUCCUAGUGUAGCGGUGAAAUGCGUAGAUAUUAGGAAGAACACCGGUGGCGAAGGCGGCAUUCUGGACAGUAACUGACGUUGAGGCACGAAAGUGUGGGGAG
rnacentral:rRNA from 1 species